GGGUGAGAAAAAACAUCUAAUCAAUUUUGAAUUCAGGCUGUCACACAACAUGUGGAAUAAGUCAAGGGGUAUGAAAACUUUCUGAAGGCACUGUAUGUUUUGAAGCAAACUGGACUGGAGUACUAGCUAGUAAAAAAAAAUCAUAAUCCAACAGCAUAAGCACAUAAAAUACAAGAAUCACCCGAAAAUAUUGUUUACAGGGGUCAAUGGUUUACACUUUUAUUAAUAUGGAGGAGGAGCAUGUGUUCAAGCAACACUUCCGUAAGUACUUUUCCCACAAUGCACCAUGUCAAAACAUUUACCAACGGCCAGAAUUGAAAUCCGCUCGGGAAAUGUUCCAAAACAAACAUGAAACGGACCAUACAUAUGUAUAUCAAUAACAUUACCAUACUGUUACGUUAACAACUAGCGUUGCGAAAAUAAUUUCGAGAUGAAAAUGGCUCAACAAUCUUGAGGGCACUAUGUGUCUUUAAACCAAUUGCAAGUGAGGAAAGGCGGGACAUGAGAAUAUUAAACCAAUUGACACUAUGUUAUUCCUGAAUCAAUCCAAUAAAAUCGUUGUUUUCAGGAAGACAAGUAUUUCCCUCACCACCAGCAGGAUUCAACUAGCUACAGCCAGAGAGGCUUUUCUGGCUGAGAGCAAUAACCAAUGCAUGAACUAUGGUCUAUCUACAGGCAAGCCCUGUCCAUGACCACUGCACUGUGUGAGGUUACCAGCACUUCUCCAUUGAAAAACGACAGCUGAUCCCUCUAUGGACGUUUUAUCC